rnacentral:rRNA from 1 species
UGGGGAAUAUUGGACAAUGGGGGCAACCCUGAUCCAGCAAUGCCGCGUGUGUGAAGAAGGUCUUCGGAUUGUAAAGCACUUUCGACGGGGACGAUGAUGACGGUACCCGUAGAAGAAGCCCCGGCUAACUUCGUGCCAGCAGCCGCGGUAAUACGAAGGGGGCUAGCGUUGCUCGGAAUGACUGGGCGUAAAGGGCGUGUAGGCGGUUUACACAGUCAGAUGUGAAAUCCCCGGGCUUAACCUGGGAGCUGCAUUUGAUACGUGUAGACUAGAGUGUGAGAGAGGGUUUGUGGAAUUCCCAGUGUAGAGGUGAAAUUCGUAGAUAUUGGGAAGAACACCGGUGGCGAAGGCGGCAACCUGGCUCAUGACUGACGCUGAGGCGCGAAAGCGUGGGGAGCAAACA